rnacentral:antisense_RNA from 1 species
CCUUCCUGCGCGCCGUUCCCCGCUAGUCGCUGCUGCUGGCGCGCACUCGCCGGGUUUUUCCUCCCACGGCCUCGAGAUGGUCGUGAAUGUGGCACGGAGGAGCCGGGCCUUCCAACCCGGUGGGCCCGAGCUCCGAAAGGCCCCCUCGGCAGUGAGAGGGGCGGGAGCCCGCGGGGGCCGCGCCCUUCUCUCGCUUCGGACUGCGCAACGCUGCGCUCUGUGCUGACAGGCGGAUAAAACGGUCCCAUCAAGGCUGAGAAAAAGCACACCAGAUAUUGGCACAGCGUGGGCAGUGGGGCCUACAGGAUGACUUAGUCUACAGAGAUCCCGGCGUACUUAAGCAGGUAGUAAUGAUGGACAGAUGAAGACUCUUAAGAUGACAGAAGGUGAUUUUUCUGGUGAUCGAGGAGUUCCGGGGUCAUGACAGUGAUGAAAUGCAGGGGACCUGGUUGCCCCCAAGUUUCCUGGCAGUGUGUGAUACUGAGGAGAUUCAUGUUACAUGUAAAGCUGUCCUCAUUUGUGACUAUGGACCUAUGGAGUUGGGACAAUCUCUAUGGGAAGCAGAAGGCAAGGACCCCAGUCAUUUUAGGUAGAAACAACAGCAUGCUAAUGCAAAAAAUUAUGCAGUGUGCUACUGAACUUCAGAGGUGAUCAAUAAAAGAAUAAAAAGACUAA